rnacentral:lncRNA from 1 species
CCACGAUGGACACCACCAAUAUUGAGGUUCCAGUCCCUCCGCAGCCAAGCAGGACAGCCCAACCCACGUGCUUAGGGACGGGCCAGCGGGGAUCACACUACUGCGCCUGCGCCCCUGCCCGCUUCUUGGCAGACGCGGCGGCGCAUGCGCAGCCCGGAAGGUCCUGCGUCCCUUAACCAGCUGAGAGCUAAAGGGUCGGGGCCUGAGGGAUGGAAGAGGGAGGGGAAGAUGAAGAAAAUCGGUGAUUAAUGGCUGGCGGAUAUGAUUGGCGGAAAGAAAGAGCCAGUCCACAGUGCGCCUUUGCAUUCGGCGGGAAACCCGGCCGAAGACUAAGCUGGAAAGCACUUCGGAUAAGAGUGAAGCUAUCCUGGCCAAGAACUUUGAGAGAGACACCACUUUUCACUCUGAAGGACCAAAAAAUGAGUAGAAAAUUUGGAAUAAAUGUCAACAAGAUUUGAAGCCUAAAGAAAAACAAGCAUCUGAAUUAGACAGACCUCCAUAUUCAUUCAGCUGGGAAACUAAAACUGUGCAGUCCCAAUAUCAGAAUUUCCUUGGUCAGUUGGCUACUGUGUGACAGUAUUCUUCUGCAUGACAGCAUUGUCUCUCUACCAACUACAGAGGAGGCUGGUAAAGAGAGGAUUCGGAAAAUUGGUGCAAAUAAGAAAUCUUGGAAAUCUGUAAGUAUAUAGAUAUAAAAGUUAUUCUUUCCAAUUUGAUUCUUUUAUGUUGUAGACUUUAAUAUUAGUCGAUUUAGGAAACUCUGUGGCUCUGAAUUAUAGUUAUAAUUCUAUUUUUACUAUUACAGUGAAAGAAGAGAAGAGGCUGUUCAUUAUUAUAUUGGAGGUAGUGCAGCAUGUUUAUUAAGAGCGCGGAGCCCCAGCAUGAAGCCUAGCUCUGCCAUUUGCCAGCUGUGUGCUCUUGGGCAGAUUACUUAUCCUCUCUGUGCCUCAUUUUCAUUUGUGAAGUGGGGGACGGUGUGUAGUUCCCACCUCACAGAGUGAUUGCAGGGUUAACACAUGAUAAAUGCUUAGUUUAGUAUAAGUUCAAUAAAAAUCAAAAUAGGCUGGGUGCA